ACCUUUUUAAAAGCCUCAACCCAGCUGGAAGCACACCUGAGUCGUAUUUUAUCUCUUGUAACAUUUCCAAGCUUCACUACAAAUUCACGUCAGUCGGAUGAAGGGAAAGCUGAAAACAGGCAUCUAGAGCCACCAUCAGAGCGUGACUGGUUGGCUGACUGACCUCUGGGCUGAUUAGAGCUACCUACCGCAGAGCAGCUUGGACACACAAACACACACACACACACACACACACACACAUCCACGCACACACAUAAACAUGAAUGCUUUCUCUCACACAGGCAGCUCAUUCAGGCUCACACUGGCCCUCAGCCCUGGCUCGAACCGCAAACCAUCCGCUCAUCAGCACCACAGACCUGUAUGUUUGCAGAUGUCAGCGGACAGAGUGAGGAAAUCCUGGUGGUGUAAACACACCGUGGACAUCAGCUAAAGCCAAG